rnacentral:sRNA from 1 species
UUUUUUAUUGUAAAGAUGAUUUAAAAAUAUAUGAUAUUAUUUGAUUUGAUUUUAAAUGUAUAGUAAAUUGUGAGUUGUAUAUGUUUUGUUGAUAUUAUCUAUAUUGUUUAGUGUUUAAAAUUAUACACUUGUAGUUUGAUUGUUAAUUUAAGAGUUUCACCUGUAGUAUACCAUCUUGUAUUAAUAUCGAUCUAAACCCGUCAAUUCUAGGAUUUUCCAGCUUGUAUUAAAAAUUGAAUCACAUCUAAUAUGUUAUUAAUUAUUGUAGUAUAUAAGAUUAUAAAUUUUCAAUAUAAUAUGUAUGAAAUUGAAUAUAAAUAUUUCAAAUUAUGACCCGUUACUUAGUAGAAAGUUUUCUUAAAUCUAUUUUUCACCCGUUAUAAUAUUUUUUCAUGUAUUGAACAGUUUAUAUUCGUUUUUAAAAAUUCAAAUUAUGGCAUAUACGAAAAAACUCUAAUUUGUUUUUUAUAAUGAUGAUAUUAUUUUUCCGCAAAAAUAGAUCAUAUAAAGAUGAGAAGUGAACUAUAAUAAUUAAUAAAAAAUUAAUAUGAUAAUUUAGAUAUCAAAUAUAAUUUGUUGAUUUUAAU